rnacentral:rRNA from 1 species
UUAAGCUAUAAAGAGCACAGGGUGGAUGCCUAGGCACUGAGAGCCGACGAAAGACGUGAUAAGCUGCGAUAAGCUGCGGUAAGGAGCAAAUAUCCAUUGACCCGCAGAUUUCUGAAUGGGGAAACCUACGCAAGAAGACCUUGCGUACUCAUACAUGAAUACAUAGUGUAUGAGAGGGAACCCGGGGAACUGAAACAUCUAAGUACCCGGAGGAAGAGAAAGAAACAUCGAUUUCCUGAGUAGCGGCGAGCGAAAGGGAAAGAGCCCAAACCAGAGGAUUUAUCCUUUGGGGUUAGGACUGCAUAAUUGAUCUGCAAUUGAUAGGAGAACGGUCUGGGAAGUCCGGCGAGAAAGCGUGAAAGCCGCGUAUCCGAAAUCGAAAGCAGCAAGGCAGAAUCCAGAGUACCACGAGACACGAGAAACCUUGUGGGAAUGAGCGGAGACCACUCCGUAAGGCUAAAUACUACUCAGUGACCGAUAGCGCAUAGUACUGUGAAGGAAAGGUGAAAAGGACCCCGGGAGGGGAGUGAAAGAGAACCUGAAACCCUGUGUUUACAAGCUGUCGAAGCACGAAAGUGCGACGGCGUACUUUUUGUAGAACGGUCCGGCGAGUUAUGAUGAGUGGUAAGGUUAAGGACUUAAGGUCCGGAGCCGAAGCGAAAGCGAGUGUUAAAAGCACGACAUAAUCGCUUAUCAUAGACCCGAAACCGGGUGAUCUAUCCAUGUCCAGGUUGAAGCUGCCGUAAGAGGUAGUGGAGGACCGAACACACAUCCGUUGAAAAGGGUGGUGAUGAGGUGUGGAUAGGGGAGAAAUUCCAAUCGAACCCGGAGAUAGCUGGUUCUCCUCGAAAUAGCUUUAGGGCUAGCCUCUGGUUAGUCUGCCGCAGGUAGAGCACUGAAUUUCCUAGGGGGCGUCAAAGCCUACCGAAGAAUAUCAAACUGCGAAUGGCGGACAGAUGAUGCCAGGGAGUCAGACUGCACGAGAUAAGUUGGGUGGUCAAAAGGGAAAGAGCCCAGACCUACAGCUAAGGUCCCAAAGUGUGUGUUAAGUGGAAAAGGAUGUGGGAUUUCGAAGACAACUAGGAUGUUGGCUCAGAAGCAGCCACACAUUAAAAGAGUGCGUAAUAGCUCACUAGUCGAGAGGUCCUGCGCCGAAAAUGUCCGGGGCUAAAACACAACACCGAAGCUUAGGAAUUCUAACGAAUUGGUAGAGGAGCAUUGAAGACGGAACGAAGCCAUACCGAAAGGAAUGGUGGACUGUCUUGAAGAGAGAAUGCCGGAAUGAGUAGCGAGAUUGAAGUGAGAAUCUUCAAGGCCGAAUAUCUAAGGUUUCCAGGGUAAAGCUGAUCUGCCCUGGGUAAGUCGGGGCCUAAGGCAAGGUCGAAAGACGUAGUCGAUGGAUAACAGGUUGAAAUUCCUGUACUGCAUCAAAUCAGAAAUGUGGGGACACAUGAGGGAAGCAUGAGCCGGAAAAGGAAAGUCCGGUACAAGCGCAGCAGAGGACAGAUAGGCAAAACCGUCUGUCAACUCGAGGGCGUGAUGUGGAGCGAACCAAAGUAGCGAAGCAUGUGGAGCUUGUGUCGAGAAAAGCCGCUAUAGUGUUUGAUGUACCCGUACCGUAAACCGACACAGGUGGAUGAGGAGAGAAUCCUAAGGCCGGCGGGAGAAGCAUUGUUAAGGAACUCGGCAAAAUGACCCCGUAACUUCGGGAGAAGGGGUGCUCCAGAGAUGGAGCCGCAGAGAACUGGCCCAAGCAACUGUUUAGCAAAAACACAGGUCUAUGCAAAACCGAAAGGUGAGGUAUAUGGGCUGACGCCUGCCCGGUGCUGGAAGGUUAAGAGGAGAUGUUAAUCGCAAGGUGAAGCAUUGAAUUUAAGCCCCAGUAAACGGCGGCCGUAACUAUAACGGUCCUAAGGUAGCGAAAUUCCUUGUCGGGUAAGUUCCGACCCGCACGAAAGGCGUAAUGAUUUGGGCACUGUCUCGACAA